AUGCUUACCUGGCAGGGGAGACACYAUGAUCAGGCAGGUGGUUUUCCCAGGGCAAGGCUCAUCCCUUGCACUCCAGGUGUGCUGACCCCUAGGAUUUCCCCAAAUGUGGGAAACUUGACUGCAUAAUUUGUGGUGGUGGGGGACUGUAUUCAUGAUUCUUA
rnacentral:snRNA from 1 species